AGUGCCUUUUUAUUUGAGAGUUCACCGCCUCAUCAAGGCCAUAUACGGACAACCUUCCAUGAGACACUAAAAACAUUUUCUUCAAUAUUAAGAUGGGUGUAGCGUUUUUGCUCUAGCUAUUGGCAGCCAAGAUUUCUCUCCUCUUCUUCAAGAGCUUCAAAGCAAGGUGAACCGUACUCUAUAAUGAAGUAAAAUAUCGGGGAAGCUUUUACGAAGGUGACCCAAGUAUGAUCCUUAGUCUGCGACCUUCUACGAGCUCGUAUGAGCAAUAAAAGAUUUUGGAGGAAACGGGACUUGAAUUUGGAUAGGCGUAAAAGGCAAAUAAGGUGCAGACGCACAGUUUGGUGAUCCAGCCGUUUAGGACACCUUCUUCUGAUGUUUGGAGUGCUCCUCUUAUUCCGGAGCCUGCAUUUUGGUAUAUAUCUUCGUUCGCUACAUAUGUAUGUACUUGUUCAGGGGUACGGUGGGGCCCUGUCCCUCCAUAUGAUUCGGUUGGUCUGUUUAGAGGUCUGUAGACGUAUAUGUGGGUUGUGCCUACUUCUGUAUAGGUGUGUUUGUAUGAUCCCACUCGCCAUGGCAGCCUUGUUGGCGUGCGUUUGUAUAUGUUUUGGGCCGUUGCGCCAUUUGAUAGCCUUGUCGGCUUCUGAUAUAUAUGUACAUAUAUGGUUGUGUUUGAAAUGUGUCUGAGACAGUUUGAUAUAAUUUGAGGCAG